UACGGAGGGGGCUAGCGUUGUUCGGAAUUACUGGGAGUAAAGCGCACGUAGGCGGCUUUGUAAGUUAGAGGUGAAAGCCCGGAGCUCAACUCCGGAAUUGCCUUUAAGACUGCAUCGCUAGAAUUGUGGAGAGGUGAGUGGAAUUCCGAGUGUAGAGGUGAAAUUCGUAGAUAUUCGGAAGAACACCAGUGGCGAAGGCGACUCACUGGACACAUAUUGACGCUGAGAUGCGAAAGCGUGGGGAGCAAACAGG
rnacentral:rRNA from 1 species